CAAAACAUAGCUUAAAUAAAGCCUUUCGCUUACACCGAAAAAAUACCUGUAUAAUCAGAUUGUUUUGA
rnacentral:tRNA from 1 species